CCUACGGGUGGCAGCAGUGGGGAAUAUUGCACAAUGGGGGAAACCCUGAUGCAGCGACGCCCCGUGAGUGAAGAAGUAUUUCGGUAUGUAAAGCUCUAUCAGCAGGGAAGAUAAUGACGGUACCUGAGUAAGAAGCCCCGGCUAACUACGUGCCAGCAGCCGCGGUAAUACGUAGGGGGCAAGCGUUAUCCGGAUUUACUGGGUGUAAAGGGAGCGUAGACGGCAUGGCAAGUCUGAAGUGAAAGCCCGGGGCUCAACCGCGGGACUGCUUUGGAAACUGUCUGGCUAGAGUGCAGGAGAGGUAAGUGGAAUUCCUAGUGUAGCGGUGAAAUGCAUAGAUAUUAGGAGGAACACCAGUGGCGAAGGCGGCUUACUGGACUGUAACUGACACUGAGGCUCGAAAGCGUGGGGAGCAAACAGGAUUAGAUACCCUUGUAGUC
rnacentral:rRNA from 1 species